GAUGAACGCUGGCGGCGUGCUUAACACAUGCAAGUCGAACGGACAGACGAUGAUUUCAGUCUACUCACGUUAGCAACGGAUGGGUGAGUAACAGGUGGAUUACCUUGCUAUUAGACUUGGAUAACGUCGAGAAACCCGAGCUAAUACCGGGUAAUAUAUUGAGUCGCAUGGUUCAAUAGUUUAUUCCGUUUUUGAUGACACUGAUAGAUGGAUCCGCGCCGGAUUAGUUAGUUGGUAAGGUAACGGCUUAGCAAGGCAACCAUGGGUAGCCGAGCUGAGAGCGAGAACGCGCACACUGGCAGUGAGCGACGACCCAGACACGUAGGGGAGGCCGCGGCAGGGACUCUUACGCGAUGGGGGAAAGCUUGACGGAGCAACGCCGGGUGAGUGAUGAAGGUCUGCGGAUCGGAAAACGGUGUUCUGGGUGAAGACUAAAUGUGCUAGUAACGAUGCACGUAGUGACGGUACCUAAUUAAAAAGCCCCGGCUAACUACGUG
rnacentral:rRNA from 1 species